CCUAUUUAGUGGGUCGAAAAUAGGGAAAAUAGAGUUUAAAAACCCAUGUCAGAGGCUGAAAAAUCAGUUCUCCCGGACUGAAGAAAGUUCUCCAGGAACAAGUUCUCCAGGCCAGAAUGAAAGUGAAAUUCAGCAACGUAGCAAAGACUUCUAAUACUCAAACUCUACUGUGGCGCCUGAUGGCUUUAACUCCCUCUUUGGAGCACAAGAAAAGCAUGCCUGAUGGUGAUGUGGAUUGCCAUGGACACCAGACUGACUGCUGAACAGUGAAGUCAAAUACGGCAAGUAUCUCUUCGUUAAUUAAUAUGUGAUGAUGGAUUCAUAAGUGCAGUGCUUUUCGUUACGUAUUUAAAUGACUUUGUGAAUAUUCCUUUAUGUAGACAACUGUGAUACAAUAAGAGUACAGCUUUCCAGUCUAAUAAAGAAUUUUGUUUCCA